rnacentral:rRNA from 1 species
AUUGAACGCUGGCGGCAGGCUUAACACAUGCAAGUCGAGCGGAGCGAGGGUGCUUGCACCUUAGCUUAGCGGCGGACGGGUGAGUAAUGCUUAGGAAUCUGCCUAUUAGUGGGGGACAACAUUCCGAAAGGGAUGCUAAUACCGCAUACGCCCUACGGGGGAAAGCAGGGGAUCUUCGGACCUUGCGCUAAUAGAUGAGCCUAAGUCGGAUUAGCUAGUUGGUGGGGUAAAGGCCUACCAAGGCGACGAUCUGUAGCGGGUCUGAGAGGAUGAUCCACCACACUGGGACUGAGACACGGCCCAGACUCCUACGGGAGGAAGCAGUGGGGAAUAUUGGACAAUGGGCGGAAGCCUGAUCCAGCCAUGCCGCGUGUGUGAAGAAGGCCUUUUGGUUGUAAAGCACUUUAAGCGAGGAGGAGGCUACCUAGAUUAAUACUCUGGGAUAGUGGACGUUACUCGCAGAAUAAGCACCGGCUAACUCUGUGCCAGCCGCCGCGGUAACAC